GAUGAACGCUGGCGGCGUGCCUAAUACAUGCAAGUCGAGCGAACGGACGAGAAGCUUGCUUCUCUGAUGUUAGCGGCGGACGGGUGAGUAACACGUGGAUAACCUACCUAUAAGACUGGGAUAACUUCGGGAAACCGGAGCUAAUACCGGAUAAUAUUUUGAACCGCAUGGUUCAAAAGUGAAAGACGGUCUUGCCGUCACUUAUAGAUGGAUCCGCGCUGCAUUAGCUAGUUGGUAAGGUAACGGCUUACCAAGGCAACGAUGCAUAGCCGACCUGAGAGGGUGAUCGGCCACACUGGAACUGAGACACGGUCCAGACUCCUACGGGAGGCAGCAGUAGGGAAUCUUCCGCAAUGGGCGAAAGCCUGACGGAGCAACGCCGCGUGAGUGAUGAAGGUCUUCGGAUCGUAAAACUCUGUUAUUAGGGAAGAACAUAUGUGUAAGUAACUGUGCACAUCUUGACGGUACCUAAUCAGAAAGCCGCGGCUAACUACGUG
rnacentral:rRNA from 1 species